AGAAGAUGAACAGUAAUCUUUAUGUAGUAUGUUCUAUUCUAUAUUUCGUGGAUUUAACAAAUGGAAUAGAAUAUAUAAUUCAUGGUAAUAUAAACAGUUGUAUGCCAUCAAUAUGAAUCAACUGGUCGAGAGUUUUAUGAGGACAAAACUCUAGAUCCAAAACAAAGAUAAUUUCUUCAGAGUUUUAAACUUGUAGCAAAAUGAAGAAGAUUAACUGUAAUGUUGAUGUGGUAUGAGCUAUCAUAUAUUCCUCGACUUCCAAAAAUAGAAUAGAAAUCAAAAUUCAUUUUAGUAUAAAUAAUUU
rnacentral:lncRNA from 1 species